CCACUAUAUAAGCCGCGCUGUCCUGCUCGCAGGGUUGUGUUAUCCUCAGCCUUCCUGCCUUGCGCUCCUCAGGCCCUCAAGUCGACAUGAAGCUGUUCUCCCUCGCCGUGGCUCUGGUGGCGAUGGUGUGCCUCCUGGUGUCUCCCAGCCGGGCCACUCCUGAAGCAGACCCUGUGGCCGGCCCCUUCCCCCGUGGCCGACCCUGACCCCCUCUUCUUCUGGAAGUUCAGGCCCAGGUACUACCGGGGCUACGGGGGCUACAGGGGCUACGGCGGCUACGGAGGCUACUCUAGGGGCUACUACAAGAAGGGAUACUGGUAAAGAAGAUUUGUGGGAGAAGCUUCGUUGGAGUGAAGCUUUGUGGAAUGAUUCUCUAUGGCGAUGAACAUGAAUAAAAGUAAUUCGUAGUAGUUAAUAAA